rnacentral:rRNA from 1 species
ACACUGACGACAUGGUUCUACAAUCAACUUUCGAUGGUAGGAUAGAGGCCUACCAUGGUGGUAACGGGUAACGGGGUGUUAGGGCACGACACCGGAGAGGGAGCCUGAGAAACGGCUACCACAUCCAAGGAUGGCAGCAGGCGCGCAAAUUACCCAAUCCCGACACGGGGAGGUAGUGACAAUAAAUAACAAUACGGGGUUCUUUAGGAUCUCGUAAUUGGGAUGAGUACAAUUUAAAUCUCUUAACGAGGAACAAUUGGAGGGCAAGUCUGGUGCCAGCAGCCGCGGUAAUUCCAGCUCCAAUAGCGUAUAUUAAAGUUGUUGCAGUUAAAAAGCUCGUAGUUGAAUUUCGGGGUUAGUAGGUUGGUCAUGCCUCCGGUAUGUACUGAUCUCACUGAUUCCUCCUUCCUUAUGAACCGUAAUGCCAUUAAUUUGGUGUUGCGGGGAAUUUGGACUGUUACUUUGAAAAAAUUAGAGUGUUUAAAGCAGGCUAACGCUUGAAUACAUUAGCAUGGAAUAAUGAAAUAGGACGUUCGAUCUUACUUUGUUGGUUUCUAGGAUUGACGUAAUGAUUAAUAGGGAUAGUUGGGGGCAUUAGUACUCAAUUGUCAGAGGUGAAAUUCGUUGGAUUUAUUGAAGACUAACUACUGCGAAAGCAUUUGCCAAGGAUGUUUUCAUUAAUCAAGAACGAAAGUUGGGGGCUCGAAGAUGAUCAGAUACCGUCCUAGUCUCAACCAUAAACGAUGCCGACCAGGGAUCGACGGAUGUUGCUUUUUGGUCUCUGUCAACACCUUAUUGGAAACCAAAGUGUUUGGGUUCAGACCAAG